rnacentral:rRNA from 1 species
AUUGAACGCUGGCGGCAGGCCUAACACAUGCAAGUCGAACGAGUGGCGGACGGGUGAGUAAUGUCUGGGAAACUGCCUGAUGGAGGGGGAUAACUACUGGAAACGGUAGCUAAUACCGCAUACCAUCAGAUGUGCCCAGAUGGGAUUAGCUAGUAGGUGGGGUAAUGGCUCACCUAGGCGACGAUCCCUAGCUGGUCUGAGAGGAUGACCAGCCACCUGUGGACUGGGACACGGCCCAGACUCCUACGGGAGGCAGCAGUGGGGAAUAUUGCAAAAUGGGCGCAAGCCUGAUGCAGCCAUGCCGCGUGUAUGAAGAAGGCCUUCGGGUUGUAAAGUACUUUCAGCGGGGAGGCGUUACCCGCAGAAGAAACACCGGCUAACUCCGUGCCAGCAGCCGCGGUAAUAC